rnacentral:rRNA from 1 species
AUUGAACGCUGGCGGCAUGCCUAACACAUGCAAGUCGAAAGGGGCAGCAAUGCCUAGUGGCGGACGGGUGAGGAAUACGUAGGAAUCUGCCCUUAAGUGGGGGAUAACCAGGGGAAGCCCUGACUAAUACCGCAUGAUCUCUUCGGAGCAAAGAGGGGGACCGCAAGGCCUCUCGCUUCUGGAGCAGCCUGCGUCCGAUUAGGUAGUUGGUGUGGUAAUGGCCUACCAAGCCUGCGAUCGGUAGCUGGUCUGAGAGGAUGAUCAGCCACACUGGGAUUGAGACACGGCCCAGACUCCUACGGGAGGCAGCAGUGGGGAAUAUUGGACAAUGGGCGCAAGCCUGAUCCAGCAAUGCCGCGUGGGUGAAGAAGGUCUUCGGAUCGUAAAGCCCUUUCGACAGGGACGAUGAUGACGGUACCUGUAGAAGAAGCCCCGGCUAACUUCGUGCCAGCAGCCGCCGUAAAAC